rnacentral:hammerhead_ribozyme from 11 species
AACUGGUCGAGAGCUGAACCCAUUCCCCUAAUGAGUCCAUGGUAGGACGAAACUAAUC